CAACUUUGGCCGCAUCCACCGCUGACUUUUAUUUAAGUUUCAAGCUGCAAACAGAGCGGAGCGGAGCGGAGUUGAAAAGUGCACAAAUUAAUGAGCCCAGCAGAUGCCAAAGCAAUCACCCCGCGUCCCCUGGGAUCGUCAGUCGACUGACUCGAAAAACUUGGCUUCAAAUAUUAAUGUCAUGUCAAACAGCAAUUAUGCCAUGUAA